CGUGAAACUGGAUAAAGACAUCAACAAGGUCAAUUCAGAGGCUCUAUUACUGGUUUCCCGAUCCACCGAGCUUUUUCUCCGAUUCCUCGCAGAGAAAUCAGCAGAAGUUGCUAUCGAGAGGAAGCGAAAGAUCGUGAAACUCGAUCACAUCCGAGUUGCCGUUAAGAGGCAUCAGCCAACCAGUGAUUUCCUUCUUGACUCGCUUCCUGCGCCAACUCAGUCCUCCGAUAAGCAGCCAGCUGAGAAGACUCAUCCUUCUCCCGUGCCCGAUAAACCUCUCCCCCCUGGCACUCGCCGGAUUGACGAUUUCUUUGCUAAGUCGGCAAAUGAAGC
rnacentral:misc_RNA from 1 species